CUCCUCUUGGCCUGAAGUCGGGACAGAGUACUUCUCUGCACAGUGGGCGCUGAUAACAACCAGCCCUAACAUUGACACAGCACCUCAUCUCAUUCGGUCCACAGAAGCACUCCUGCGGAUCGGUGUCAUGAGCCUUCUUUAGGUGGGAAAUUGAGACAGGAGGAAAGGUACAGCAGCCUGAGUAUUGAGAUGAUCGUGUGUGAUAGAAGCAGCCGUCCGUGGACAUCGGCAGCCCUUCCCUCACAGAGGGAGACAGAAGUCCCCCCAGAUGGUAUAGCCACCUGGAGCCUGGUGCAGGCCACCACCCUUUCUUCAACGGCAGCCUUGUUGCUGUAUCACUGCUUUGCACUGCAAUCAUUGUUAUAAUGAUUAUCAGAUCAACACAGGAGUGUAAUUAUGUUCCAAAGAUUGCUUAGUGAGGCACAAAUAGUAAGAAUUGUAUUGUAGAAAAAUUAUAGUAAAA